AUUGAACGCUGGCGGCAGGCCUAACACAUGCAAGUCGAGCGGAUGACGGGAGCUUGCUCCUUGAUUCAGCGGCGGACGGGUGAGUAAUGCCUAGGAAUCUGCCUGGUAGUGGGGGACAACGUUUCGAAAGGAACGCUAAUACCGCAUACGUCCUACGGGAGAAAGCAGGGGACCUUCGGGCCUUGCGCUAUCAGAUGAGCCUAGGUCGGAUUAGCUAGUUGGUGGGGUAAUGGCUCACCAAGGCGACGAUCCGUAACUGGUCUGAGAGGAUGAUCAGUCACGCUGGAACUGAGACACGGUCCAGACUCCUACGGGAGGCAGCAGUGGGGAAUAUUGGACAAUGGGCGAAAGCCUGAUCCAGCCAUGCCGCGUGUGUGAAGAAGGUCUUCGGAUUGUAAAGCACUUUAAGUUGGGAGGAAGGGCAGUAAGCUAAUACCUUGCUGUUUUGACGUUACCGACAGAAUAAGCACCGGCUAACUCUGUGCCAGCCGCCGCCGUAAUAC
rnacentral:rRNA from 1 species